GGUAGGCUAUCAACCCUAGGGGUGUACAUGGCCCGGCCCGCCCGAAGACCCGAUCCGGCCCCGAACACUUUAGGGGCUAAUUUAAUGUGAUUUCAUCGGGUCUAGGGCCGGGUAAGGGUCUCAAAAAUAGACCCGGUCAUUAUUUCGGGUCGG